CCUAAGGCCAAAGAAAAGAAGCUGACCCCGUUGUCCAAGCCUCUUUCACUGUUCUUCCUUCCAGGAUCAAGAUCAUCAGGAGCGUGUCAAGAUGGCCGGAUUGAGGCUAAUAUUAUGCGUUCCAGGUCAGUGGGUGCUGCUGCGGUCGUAAGAAGGUUGCUGUAUUCAGAACCGGGAAGGAAUUUUCCAUGCAUUGGCAGGUUUUGCCUUCUCCGUGGCAUUUUGUCACAACUUUGGCGGUUUUAGGCCUUGGAAGGGUAUCUUUUCGUCUAACAUCAAGUCGGGUGGGGGGUGCAUUCAUGCUCCCUCCCCAUGCAGCGGCGCUUGCAGGGCCCGUUAAAGGGCAAAAACCAGGAGUCCCUGGCCAGAGAACAGCGGCAUGUAGGUCAAACUCCCAGGAUGAGGUCGGUGGAAGGGCAUGCUGUGUAAGUUUGCGCUUUGCAGGACCUCAUCUGCCUGCAUAUCCUCAGCCAGGCGGGCUGAGAGGGUUACCUGCCAAGGCCUGUGCCAAGUUUCCCACUUCUGAAGCUCAAUAAAGUUGUGGCCAAUUUGAACCCA